UGGGGAAUAUUGGACAAUGGGGGCAACCCUGAUCCAGCAAUGCCGCGUGUGUGAAGAAGGUCUUCGGAUUGUAAAGCACUUUCGACGGGGACGAUGAUGACGGUACCCGUAAAGAAGCCCGGCUACUUCGUGCCAGCAGCCGCGGUAAUACGAAGGGGGCUAGCGUUGCUCGGAAUGACUGGGCGUAAAGGGCGUGUAGGCGGUUUACACAGUCAGAUGUGAAAUCCCCGGGCUUAACCUGGGAGCUGCAUUUGAUACGUGUAGACUAGAGUGUGAGAGAGGGUUUGUGGAAUUCCCAGUGUAGAGGUGAAAUUC
rnacentral:rRNA from 1 species